rnacentral:rRNA from 1 species
GACAGAGGGUGCAAACGUUGUUCGGAUUCAUUGGGCGUAAAGGGUGCGUAGGUGGCGCCGUAAGUCGGGUGUGAAAUUUCGGAGCUUAACUCCGAAACUGCAUUCGAUACUGCGGUGCUUGAGGACUGGAGAGGAGACUGGAAUUCAUGGUGUAGCAGUGAAAUGCGUAGAGAUCAUGAGGAAGACCAGUGGCGAAGGCGGGUCUCUGGACAGUUCCUGACACUGAGGCACGAAGGCCAGGGGAGCAAACGGG